UUUUUUUUUUUUUUUUAGCCUAACCAGUCAAAGAAGGGACCACUCUCCUUCCCAGCUUUGUUUACUUCAUGGACGUGGACUACAAUGGAAAAAAAAAAGGAGCUUCGACAAACUGAACUGUGAAGGAUCCACAAGUCAUGUUUUGAGCGGGAAGUGAUGGACUGGCUAAUGAUUCCAAAAACUCUGGGACAGGAACAGUAUGCAAACAAACCAGACCACAACAGUGCACUUCCAGCCACGGAGCUGCGGACGUUUCAUUUCACUGGUGGAGAAUGUCAGUGUUUGGGCUGACUGGAUAGGACAACCAGGUUUAUGACAGUUUGAUAUUUCAUAUUUGAUCCCAACAGCCCCAGUAAAGGCCUGCUCUUCCUUAAUAUUUAUUAUUAGGGCUGGGUACAUUAUUAUUAGGGCUGGGUAUCGCCACAGAUUUCCUAAAUCGAUUCCGAUUCACACGGUCCCGUUUCGAAUUGAUUAGAUCCUACAGCGAGUCGAUUAGGGAUGUUUCAGUUACAAUACAAGUUUUGCUUGGCUAUGAAAGAGAUUCUCAGAGAACAAAUGCUGCAAUUUGUACAAGGAACCCUCUAACCUGCUGCAGUAUUAAAAAUAUGUAAUGCUGUCGUUAACAAUUGACCCCACAGCAGUUACAUAGAGACAGAAGUGCCGUUUUAAUGCAGAGGGGGUGAUGCAGAGACAGAGACCUAAAGCCACAUCUGGGAAAACGGCCAUGCCAGUUUUUCCCUCGCCAAAAUGAAGCCAAACUUUGGAGUGUUAUUCAGCAUGAGAAAUCUUUUUUUUUUUUUUUUUUUUUAUCAUCUAGUUUAAGCCUCUUAAAAGAUCGAUCUCAGGAUUUUAUGAAUCGAUAUCGGCUCAUUCAAAUGAAGCUCAAUUUGAAUCGGAAAAUCAAUGUAUUUUUUUUUAAAAACCCAGCCCUAUUGUAUAACGUACUUGUCUGUGGCACAGGUAACGGACUGGACUGAACCAGUAUCUUAAGGUCAAAGCAUCAUUUAAUGAUGACGUUAUGUUUGUCUUCGCUCCGCUGCCCUGUACAACCUUGUGCCUUAACGCCGAUUCACAUGAAGUGCGAUUGCAUUGUGAAACAAAAAUGAUGUUGUGGGUUACAGAGGCACCCGGUUACAGGCCGCAACCACGUUGGUGUCGUGCAGGUUUCUUUUAAAUCGACCAAAGGAAAAUUUUGCUUUUCAAUGAUGUCACAAAUUUGUUAACGACUUCCCCCGGCUGCGAUAAUGUCAAGUGAGAAUGUGAUCAUUCGGUGGCUCUCCUCUACUCAAAAGCUCAAGUGCAGUCACUAUGCUGAAGCUGAAAUAUACAAAACUUAAAUCGGCAUCAAGGAUUUUCUGAAUGUCACAUGUACGCUCGUGUUUAGAAGGUUAACGAGGAUAUUUCACACAUCUGGUGCCACACUCCAGAGACACUACAAAUGUGAAUUCGGAGGGUUUUCACGUUGUUUUGAAGUUGUUUUUUACAGAAUUCUCCUCAGAAGUAAGCCGACCCGUGUCAACUCCAUACAAUACUGUGCUAUUGUAACCAAACAAUUCAGAUUUGCUUUUUAUGUGGGCAUUAGUUCCUGUUCAAUCCAAAGAGCAGCUGUUGGAUAAACUGCGUUUAUCCUUUUAUCAUCACUGCAAAGCUCCGUAUGAACAUAAUUUCUAAAUUAAGGUAUGACCAAGAAACAAUCAUGAUCGUUUUAGUGGGAUUUAAAGGUGUUUGAUGCUUCUUGCGCUCGGCGUGGUCGGGGCGCUGCGGACGGUGUGCGUGGUCACUGCGAACCGUCUGGUCUUUCAUACCGACUCAAAGAACGGACUUCGUCUCUCCUGUAGCCAAUCAUUGCAACGCGGUCCGUGCAAACGCGUCCGCAUCGUUACGGAAAUGUUGGAGAUGCGCGGCUCGGCGAUCAGACCCUCCGCGCACAGUCGCCCAGGCCGCGUUUGCGUCAUGCCGCCGUCGUCACCGCGCUGAUCGCAAGAAACGUGAAACUGCUGAAAAGUCUGUUUUGAGAACUUGGUACUGAAUGUUUUUUUUUACAUUGAGGUCGAGUGUGGUAUUUUAGGCGCGGAAUACUAAUUUCACUACAGUUCAAGAUAUCAAGUCAAUGGGUAACUUCCAAUCAGCUGUCAUUCUGUACUCUAAAUGGGCCGACACCUGAGCAGUUUUGAGACAUCUGUGGCUGAAUCUUUUCUCGAGUAUCUGAUUUGGAGAUUCUCACAGGAAAUUUGAAGAUUUCCCAUCUGGAAAUAAUCCCCAAAAGCAACCACGGGAUGCCCAUCCUAACUGGACUAUCCUUUUCUUCCUUCCUCUCUUGACCAAAGUGUUUUAAGAACUCUGCAGUGGCACGUUCAGUCGGUCUUCUAUCUGUGUUGUGAGAAAAUCAUGGCUUCUUUGUGCUGUAUUUCAUGCAUCCUUAUUGUUAAGCAAAACAGAAUUUAGCUACAUUUACACUACUACAGUACCUUUUGGUUUUUAAGCGGCAUUUUGAGCCAAAAACGAUCUCCGUGCACGCAAGAGUUUUAGCUCCAGUAGGAGAACUAAUCUCCGUUUAAACUAACACGCCCAGAACGCAUAUCUCAUGACCAUUCAUGAUUACUGGGCACAAACAGGAAGCAGAUUGUAUACUCCGCCCGGUCCGGACUGCGGAGAUAAGACGAGAGUUUUCUAUUUCUUGAUCUUGUUUGGAUCGGCUACGAGGUAGAACUGUUACUGAAAGUAACUCGUGACUACAAGGCGACAGAAAACACCAACUGGGAAUCUGUCUGACGUUACUCUGCGGUUGAAAAUCAUGGCUGAAAAUACAGAAAAUACUUUGGAGAAAGAACAACAAUGGCGGAAAGUAAGAGCAGGGAUUUAUUAUCUUGGAGCGACGACGACGAGGUGGAACUGUUACUGAAAGGUCUGUAAGCUACCUAGCCGAUAAGACUGACUGCCGUGCGUCUUUCGUUUCCAAAUGUCUCCGUUUGUGCCCGUCUAGACUACAAAGCAACCCCGGAGUUUUCAAACCAAAACUGGGGCAGCGGUGUUUCCAAAUGUCUCCGUUUUAAGAGCCCAGACACUCCGGAGUAGUGUGGACGCGAGGCGUAAACACAGCAAAAGACAUUUGUUUUUGAAACCAAAAUGUUGCAGUGUAAAUGUAGGCUGAUCCACAGGUGAGAUGUUACUUGAAGCAACUACAAUUUCCAGGAAAAUAGAACAAAACGCAAAAGUUUAACUGCACAGAAUAAUUGAAACGCAGAGAUCAAAGCAAAAGAAGAGGGGUUAAAGCCUACAGCGGUGAGCCUAACGGGGGGUGGUUGUGUGUUCCAGACCCUAAAAUCUGUACUAGCCAUCACUCCUCAACACAGACCAGGGGAAUGGCCAAAAACCUCCUGUUGGUUUCGUAGCACUGCGUAGAGUUUUGAAAUCAGUGACUCAGAAGUAGUAGUAGAUUUUUAAGGUCCUACCUCAUUCAGCACUUUGAAACAUCUACAUCGACACUGUCCUUAACUUCGUCUUAGUUUCUGGUACAAGGAGAACUUUGCCUGAGUGGGUCGAUUUCUACCUCUGACCCCGUCUCUCUUUAACCUUUGGACUGACUUCUCUGUGUGGGGUUUCACUUUUCUACAAGUAACAGCUAGCUUUUCCCUUUGUCACUACCCGAUGUGAGUCGAGUGCAGAUGUGAGUUGUGCGUGCGUCACUUUGCGACAAUGACCAGAUUUCACGCAGAUCUGUUGUGCUGUUCUGUAAUGUCAACACAAUAAAAAUGGACCUACAUAACGAAGUUUGUUCACUGCUGGCUACAAGUUAGCAAUCAAACACAACAAAGGCUGUCACUUGACUGGCGUUUUGAGCUAACGUUAGCAAUCAAACAAUCAUAGAUAGCUACAACGUUUGCCAGAUCCGGAUCCCUUGGCGUUAAGCCGUAAACAGUUUAAAUCUGAGCAUGUGCAACUCACAUCUGCACUCGACUCACAUCGGUUAGUGACACCCUUUAUGAUACAACAUCUGCAACCUGUUACCUUCCCUCUUAACGGCUGUAUCACAGAGAUAGUCGAGCACAACAAUGUUGUUUGCAUUCAACAACUACAGCUCCCAUGACGCUAUAUUAGUGCCCGAAGGUGUCUAUGCCCGAAGGCCUUUGUGUGUUUCAAACAAAUAAGUUGCCGUGGUGGAUAAUACAACCAUGUCUUAGGUCAGAAGUGUCAAAAGGCAGUUAGAGCCGACUCAUGGCUGCAUCCCACCGGUUGCCUAAUCAAUCAAUCAAUCAAUCAAUCAAUCAAUCAUGGUGUUAUAUUCGGCCCUUAACACGAACAGUAACCGAAUGAAUUGUGUGAAGAAUAAAAUGACAACUUAAAAGAGUUCAAAUUGUCUGUUUUGUUGGACAAUCUGACAAGCCCUUCAUUUGAAGCAUACUGAGACCUUAAAACCACCUACACGAGAUCCGCGGCAAGUCCGUGAGGUAGGGCGCAGAGCAGAGAGGCAAAGCACGGCGCGGGAAUGUUCUGGAAUUGGUUGUGCCUUGAAAGGUCAGCCGCAACGAGGUCAAAGUUGACAUUUAUUUUACUUUGAGCGCAGCACACAGCGAGAAAUCCAAGAUGCUAGUUGUGCGGCACCGGCCCUCCCCCCGUAGAAAACAAUGGAACGACCGGCGCGAAGCGGUUUCACCUCGGAUCGUGUGUAGGCGGCUUAACGGACGCACACAAACCGUUUCCUCGUGAAAGUAUCUCGUGCUCGCGAGAAACCAAUCUAAGGCUAACACAAUGAUGCUAACGAAGUACUGCUAACGUCACGCGGCUAACGUUAAUAUUUCACAUUCACAGCAUGACGUUAUUUGUUGACGAUAUUAUCGGGAACAUUUCGUUGCGUUUUCAGAAAGAUGAAUACCGCACAAGAAAGGUUUUUCGUGAGCACGCGGAAGAAUCCUGUGCUCACGAGAAAAUUUCUUGUGCUCACGAGGAAAAAAAGCAAUCCCACAUGUCUCUUUAGGGCCUCCCUAAAAAGUGCUUCCUUUUGAAUGUUCAAUUUCCUAUAAAAGAAAAGACACUUAUGCUGAAUGUAAGAGACUCUGUGUACGUACGGAGAUAUCGGGAGCGAGAAGUUGUUGAAUGCUAACCCAUUGCUGUUGUUAUAACAUGAAAGAUGUUCAAUUUCGGGAUGAGACUUUCAUUUUUCACUUUUCACUAAAGGACCACUGUAGCACGUAGAAAAUCAGUCUUUCACUCUUCACGCUGAGAUGUUCAAUCUCUGACCUGCUCUGCAGUGUUCGGUAAACUCGUUUCUUUAGGCAUUAAAGUGAACAUAUAGUUAUUGCUGUGGUAAUAAGCUAACAGCAGAUCUUUACAACUUAAUCAUCACUACUAAAACUGUCCACUGUCACUGUACUUUUCGUAUGAGCCGUUUUCAUUUCUCUCUCUGUUAAGAAUCGUAAUGAUUCCACUUGAAAACACUCACACUAUGCAAAAUGUUUCACUGCCUCACUGCAAACAACGUACAGAGCCACACCUUUCUCAAACCGUUGUGUGUAAUAUCUUGAACAAUUUUUUCUUCUUCUUUCUUUUAGUGCAUAUUUCCAGUGUGUACAGAACAGAAAUGUAUGUUUUAAUAAGAACUGCUUUUUAAUGACGCUGACAGGAGCCAUUAGAUGUUUGAGAAAGCAUCGUGUUUUUUUUUGUUGUUGCUGUAAAUAUAUUUGACAACUUUUCUUGAAAUAAAUGAACAAAACUAUGA